GGUGGAGUAGCCUAGUGGUAGGGGGCAGGGCUUGUAACCGAAAGGUUGCUGGUUCAAGUCCCUGCUUGGGCA